rnacentral:rRNA from 1 species
GACGGACGCUGGCGGCGUGCUUAACACAUGCAAGUCUAACGGAAAGGCCCUGCUUUUGUGGGGUGCUCGAGUGGCGAACGGGUGAGUAACACGUGAGUAACCUGCCCUUGACUUUGGGAUAACUUCAGGAAACUGGGGCUAAUACCGGAUAGGAGCUCCUGCUGCAUGGUGGGGGUUGGAAAGUUUCGGCGGUUGGGGAUGGACUCGCGGCUUAUCAGCUUGUUGGUGGGGUAGUGGCUUACCAAGGCUUUGACGGGUAGCCGGCCUGAGAGGGUGACCGGGCACACUGGGACAGAGAUACGGCCCAGACACCUAUGGGAGGCAGCAGUGGGGAAUAUUGCACAAUGGGCGGAAGCCUGAUGCAGCAACGCCGCGUGCGGGAUGACGGGCUUUGGGGUGUAAACCGCUUUCGCCUGAGACGAAGCGAGAGUGACGGUAAUGGGUAAAGAAGCACCGGCUAACUACGUG